rnacentral:rRNA from 1 species
CAAUAGCGUAUAUUAAAGUUGUUGCAGUUAAAAAGCUCGUAGUUGGAUUUCGGGGUGGCCUGGCUGGUCCGCCGCAAGGUGAGUACUGGUCAGCCGCCCUUCCUCUCGAAAGCCCCGACUGCUCUUUACUGCAGUGGUCGGGUAGUUCGGGGCGUUUACUUUGAAAAAAUUAGAGUGUUCAAGGCAGGCUAUCGCCUGAAUACAUUAGCAUGGAAUAAUGGAAGAGGACCUCGGUCCUAUUUUGUUGGUUUCUAGGGCCGAAGUAAUGAUUAAGAGGGACAGUUGGGGGCAUUCGUAUUUAAUUGUCAGAGGUGAAAUUCUUGGAUUUAUGAAAGACGAACUAGUGCGAAAGCAUUUGCCAAGGAUGUUUUCAUUAA